GACGAACGCUGGCGGCGUGCUUAACACAUGCAAGUCGAACGGAGUGGCGAACGGGGGAGUAACACGUGGGUGACCUGCCCUGCACUUCGGGCUAAGCCUGGGAAACUGGGUCUAAUAACGGAUAGUGUGGGAUGGGCCCGGGGCCUAUCGGUUUGUGGGUGGGGUAAUGGCCGACCAAGUCGGCGACGGGUAGCCGGCCUGGGAGGGUGGACGGCCACAUUGGGACUGAGGCACGGCCCAGACUCGUACGGGAGGCAGCAGUGGGGAAUAUUGCACAAUGGGCGGAAGCCUGAUGCAGCGACGCCGCGUGGGGGAUGACGGCCUUCGGGUUGUAAACUCCUUUCACCAUCGACGCGGUAGAUGGAGAAGAAGCACCGGCUAACUACGUGCCAGCAGCCGCGGUAAUAC
rnacentral:rRNA from 1 species